rnacentral:rRNA from 1 species
UACGAAGGGUGCAAGCGUUAUUCGGAAUCACUGGGCGUAAAGGGUGCGUAGACGGUACAUUAAGUUCGUUGUUAAAGGCUCCGGCCUAACUGGAGUAUUGCGAUGAAAACUGGUGAGCUAGAGGGUGAGAGAGAGAAGUGGAAUUCCCGGAGUAGCGGUAAAAUGCGUGGAUCUCGGGAGGAACACCUGCGGCGAAGGCGGGUAGCUGGGCCGACACUGACGCUGAGGCGCGAAAGCCAGGGGAGCGAACGGG